rnacentral:tRNA from 1 species
GCAUAUCGCUCAGUGAUAGAGCACUUGCCUAGUAAGUGCAAGGGCCUGGAUUCGAUCCCCAGCAUUGCA